AUUUCCUGUCCUGGAGAGAAAAUGCACAUUAAAGUUCCACCUCCGAAGAAUGACGAAAGCUAAAGUUACUUAUUUAUUCACGAAUUUGGGUGGCCUGGUAUGAAGAUGGCAGGAUGUUACUGAUUCUGAUGAUGUGUGAGGAUCCCCUGGCUCUGCUGACCAAGAUUGGGGAGUGGCACAGUUUUGUCUCAUCUGGCACACUCUUGUCCCUAAAUCUAUAUGAUAGACCAUCUUUGUCCUUCCAUCCUCCAGGAUUCCGGGCUACACCAGCAGCCUCCUCUUCAUGCUCAUCUUCUUAGUUGUGGUCAAGAAAUGGGACAUCCCCGCCCCCUACCAAGCCAUGUGACCAGAUAUCGAAUUCCUUCGGAAUCGGAAUGUACGCCCAAACUCUGUCAUCUCCAGUAAGGCUCUGUUUCUGCUGAUCUUCAGCCUGUUUGUGAGACUGCUCAGUCUGUGUCAUCGUGGUCACCUGGGCAGAGAACCCCUGAACAGGACCACAUGACCAGACAAACCAUGUACCUGCUCCAUGGAGCCUAAAGGGAAAAAUGCUGUCAAAUAAAUCAUAUUUGGCAGCACAACAGGGCGCUAUGACCACCAAACAGGUCAGUGGUAGGACCACAAGAUCACUGCAUAAGACUGCCCAGUUACUGAAUGUUGCUCUAUGAUGUAUUGAGUGAAUAUACUAUACACUCCUCUAUACAGCACCUCCGCUAUCCAUAGAAGAAAAGUCAUUCAAAUGCUUAUCAACUAUUUCAUUUAUAUGAUCCAUUUAUUGUACUGUAAAAUGUUAAAUUAAAG
rnacentral:lncRNA from 1 species